rnacentral:rRNA from 1 species
GUGUCAGCAGCCGCGGUAAUACGUAGGCAGCAAGCGUUGUUCGGAGUUACUGGGCGUAAAGGGUGUGUAGGCGGUUCUUUAAGUUUGUCGUGAAAUCUCCCGGCUCAACUGGGAGGGUGCGGCGAAUACUGAGGAGCUAGAGUGCGGGAGAGGAAAGUGGAAUUCCUGGUGUAGCGGUGAAAUGCGUAGAUAUCAGGAGGAACACCGGUGGUGUAAACGGCUUUCUGGACCGUAACUGACGCUGAAACACGAAAGCGUGGGUAGCAAACAGGAUUAGAUACCCUCGUAGUCC